GACGAACGCUGGCGGCGUGCUUAACACAUGCAAGUCGAACGGAAAGGCCUCUUUCGGGGGGUACUCGAGUGGCGAACGGGUGAGUAACACGUGAGUAACCUGCCCUUGACUUUGGGAUAACUUCAGGAAACUGGGGCUAAUACCGGAUAGGAGCUCCUGCUGCAUGGUGGGGGUUGGAAAGUUUCGGCGGUUGGGGGUGGACUCGCGGCGUAUCAGCUUGUUGGUGGGGUAGUGGCUUACCAAGGCUUUGACGGGUAGCCGGCCUGAGAGGGUGACCGGCCACAUUGGGACUGAGGUACGGCCCAGACUCCUACGGGAGGCCGCAGUGGGGAAUAUUGCACGAUGGGUGGAAGCCUGGUGCAGCAACGCCGUGUGCGGGAUGACUGCCUUCUGGUUGUAAACCGCUUUCGCCCAUGACGAAGCUUUGUGUGACGGUAGUGGGUAAAGAAGCACCGGCUAACUACGUG
rnacentral:rRNA from 1 species